rnacentral:rRNA from 1 species
AUUGAACGCUGGCGGCAGGCCUAACACAUGCAAGUCGAGCGGAUGAAGGGAGCUUGCUCCUGGAUUCAGCGGCGGAGGGGUGAGUAAUGCCUAGGAAUCUGCCUGGUAGUGGGGGAUAACGUCCGGAAACGGGCGCUAAUACCGCAUACGUCCAGAGGGAGAAAGUGGGGGAUCUUCGGACCUCACGCUAUCAGAUGAGCCUAGGUCGGAUUAGCUAGUUGGUGGGGUAAAGGCCUACCAAGGCGACGAUCCGUAACUGGUCUGAGAGGAUGAUCAGUCACACUGGAACUGAGACACGGUCCAGACUCCUACGGGAGGCAGCAGUGGGGAAUAUUGGACAAUGGGCGAAAGCCUGAUCCAGCCAUGCCGCGUGUGUGAAGAAGGUCUUCGGAUUGUAAAGCACUUUAAGUUGGGAGGAAGGGCAGUAAGUUAAUACCUUGCUGUUCUGACGUUACCAACAGAAUAAGCACCGGCUAACUUCGUG